rnacentral:misc_RNA from 1 species
UACGGAGGGGGUUAGCGUUGUUCGGAAUUACUGGGCGUAAAGCGCACGUAGGCGGAUCUUUAAGUCAGGGGUGAAAUCCCGAGGCUCAACCUCGGAACUGCCUUUGAUACUGGGGAUCUCGAGUCCGGGAGAGGUGAGUGGAACUGCGAGUGUAGAGGUGAAAUUCGUAGAUAUUCGCAAGAACACCAGUGGCGAAGGCGGCUCACUGGCCCGGAACUGACGCUGAGGUGCGAAAGCGUGGGGAGCAAACAGG